UACGGAGGGAGCUAGCGUUAUUCGGAAUUACUGGGCGUAAAGCGCACGUAGGCGGCUUUGUAAGUAAGAGGUGAAAGCCCAGAGCUCAACUCUGGAAUUGCCUUUUAGACUGCAUCGCUUGAAUCAUGGAGAGGUCAGUGGAAUUCCGAAGUGUAGAGGUGAAAUUCGUAGAUAUUCGGAAGAACACCAGUGGCGAAGGCGGCUGACUGGACAUGUAUUGACGCUGAGGUGCGAAAGCGUGGGGAGCAAACAGG
rnacentral:rRNA from 1 species